rnacentral:rRNA from 1 species
GACGAACGCUGGCGGCGUGCUUAACACAUGCAAGUCGAACGGAAAGGCCCUGCUUUUGUGGGGGGCUCGAGUGGCGAAGGGGUGAGUAACACGUGAGUAACCUGCCCUUGAAUUUGGGAUAACUUCAGGAAACUGGGGUUAAUACCGGAUAGGAGCUCCUGCUGCAUGGUGGGGGUUGGAAAGUUUCGGCGGUUGGGGAUGGACUCGCGGCUUAUCAGCUUGUUGGUGGGGUAGUGGCUUACCAAGGCUUUGACGGGUAGCCGGCCUGAGAGGGUGACCGGCCACAUUGGGACUGAGAUACGGCCCAGACUCCUACGGGAGGCAGCAGUGGGGAAUAUUGCACAAUGGGCGGAAGCCUGAUGCAGCAACGCCGCGUGCGGGAUGACGGCCUUCGGGUUGUAAACCGCUUUCGCCUGUGACGAAGCGUGAGUGACGGUAAUGUGUAAAGAAGCACCGGCUAACUACGUG